rnacentral:rRNA from 1 species
ACGCCCUAAACGAUGUCAACUAGUUGUUGGGAGGGUAAAACCUUUUAGUAACGUAGCUAACGCGUGAAGUUGACCGCCUGGGGAGUACGGCCGCAAGGUUAAAACUCAAAGGAAUUGACGGGGACCCGCACAAGCGGUGGGUGAUGUGGAUUAAUUCGAUGCAACGCGAAAAACCUUACCUACCCUUGACAUGCCAGGAACUUGCCAGAGAUGGCUUGGUGCCCGAAAGGGAGCCUGGACACAGGUGCUGCAUGGCUGUCGUCAGCUCGUGUCGUGAGAUGUUGGGUUAAGUCCCGCAACGAGCGCAACCCUUGUCGUUAAUUGCCAUCAUUUAGUUGGGCACUUUAACGAGACUGCCGGUGACAAACCGGAGGAAGGUGGGGAUGACGUCAAGUCCUCAUGGCCCUUAUGGGUAGGGCUUCACACGUCAUACAAUGGUCGGUACAGAGGGUUGCCAAGCCGCGAGGUGGAGCCAAUCCCAGAAAGCCGAUCGUAGUCCGGAUUGUAGGCUGCAACUCGCCUGCAUGAAGUCGGAAUCGCUAGUAAUCGCGGAUCAGCAUGUCGCGGUGAAUACGUUCCCGGGUCUUGUACACACCGCCCGUCACACCAUGGGAGCGGGUUCCGCCAGAAGUGGGUAGCCUAACCGCAAGGAGGGCGCUUACCACGGCGGGGUUCGUGACUGGGGUGAAG